rnacentral:rRNA from 1 species
UACAGAGGAGCCAAGCGUUGUCCGGAUUGACUGGGCGUAAAGCGCACGCAGGCGGUGGUGCGCGUGGGGUGUGAAAUCUGGCCGCUUAACGGCCAGGCGCCAUCCCAUACGGCACGACUGGAGGGCUGCAGAGGUCGAUGGAAUUGCCGGUGUAGUGGUGAAAUGCGUAGAGAUCGGCAGGAACACCCAGGGGGAAACCAGUCGACUGGGCAGCACCUGACGCUGAGGUGCGAGAGCGUGGGGAGCGAACGGG